rnacentral:rRNA from 1 species
UACGUAGGGUGCGAGCGUUAAUCGGAAUUACUGGGCGUAAAGCGUGCGCAGGCGGUUCGUUGUGUCCGAUGUGAAAGCCCCGGGCUUAACCUGGGAAUGGCAUUGGAAACUGGCGAGCUUGAGUGCGGCAGAGGGGGGUGGAAUUCCGCGUGUAGCAGUGAAAUGCGUAGAGAUGCGGAGGAACACCGAUGGCGAAGGCAGCUCGCUGGGACGGUACUGACGCUGAGGCGCGAAAGCGUGGGGAGCAAACAGG